rnacentral:tRNA from 1 species
GUCUUUUUGGCGCAGCGGUAGCGCGCUUCCCUGACACGGAAGAGGUCACUGGUUCGAUCCCAGUAUCGCCCACCA